rnacentral:misc_RNA from 1 species
UUUCCGUAGGUGAACCUGCGGAAGGAUCAUUACAGAGUUCAUGCCCUCACGGGUAGAUCUCCCACCCUUGAAUAUUUUUACCUUAGUUGCUUUGGCAGGCCGUGGAAACACCAUGGGCUCCGGCUUAUGCGUGCCUGCCAGAGUAAACAAACUCUGUUUUUAGUGAUGUCUGAGUACUAUAUAAUAGUUAAAACUUUCAACAACGGAUCUCUUGGUUCUG